rnacentral:rRNA from 1 species
AUUGAACGCUGGCGGCAGGCCUAACACAUGCAAGUCGAGCGAGCGGCGGACGGGUGAGUAAUGUAUGGGGACUGCCCGAUAGAGGGGGAUAACUACUGGAAACGGUGGCUAAUACCGCAUACUAUCGGAUAACCCAUAUGGGAUUAGCGAGUAGGUGGGGUAAAGGCUCACCGAGGCGACGAUCCCUAGCUGGUCGGAGAGGAUGAUCAGACACACGGGGACUGAGACACGGCCCAGACUCCUACGGAGGCAGCAGUGGGGAAUAUUGGACAAUGGGCGAAAGCCUGAUGCAGCCAUGCCGCGGGUAUGAAGAAGGCCUUAGGGUGGUAAAGUACUUUCAGCGGGGAGGCGUUACCCGCAGAAGAAGCACCGGCUAACUCCGUGCCAGCCGCCGCGGUAAUAG